CACAGAACCACCAGCUGGGCCUGAGGGGSAGCAGCAGUCAGGUUCACAGCAGAAAAUUCUGAUUUACCAGGAUGAAGAGCUGCUUGUUUCAGAAGAAAAAGUGGAUUUUUAUCUUUUAGAAAAUG